rnacentral:sRNA from 1 species
AAUAAUCGCUGAAUUCGCUUUUGAAGCGGGGGAACCAAUAUUUUGGGGUGAAUCCUUUAGAGGACGGGCAUAACCCUUUAGCCCGAACCCGACAGCUAACCUCGUAAGCGUAUUAAAGGGG